CCUGAAUACAUAGGGUAAGGAGGCGAACCGGGGGAACUGAAACAUCUAAGUACCCCGAGGAAAAGAAAUCAACCGAGAUUCCGAAAGUAGCGGCGAGCGAAAUUGGACUAGCCCUUAAGCUUUACACGCGUUAGACGAACGGUCUGGAAAGUCCGACGAUACAGGGUGAUAGUCCCGUAGUUGACGACGUGUGUUCAGUGAAAUCGAGUAGGGCGGGACACGUGAUAUCCUGUCUGAAUAUGGGGGGACCAUCCUCCAAGGCUAAAUACUACUGACUGACCGAUAGUGAACCAGUACCGUGAGGGAAAGGCGAAAAGAACCCCUGUGAGGGGAGUGAAAUAGAACCUGAAACCGUGUACGUACAAGCAGUAGGAGCACCUUCGUGGUGUGACUGCGUACCUUUUGUAUAAUGGGUCAGCGACUUAUAUUCAGUGGCAAGGUUAACCAUCUAGGGGAGCCGUAGGGAAACCGAGUCUUAACUGGGCGUUCAGUCUCUGGAUAUAGACCCGAAAC
rnacentral:rRNA from 1 species